rnacentral:rRNA from 1 species
GACGAACGCUGGCGGCGUGCCUAAUACAUGCAAGUAGGACGCACAGUUUAUACCGUAGCUUGCUACACCAUAAACUGUGAGUUGCGAACGGGUGAGUAACGCGUAGGUAACCUGCCUGGUAGCGGGGGAUAACUAUUGGAAACGAUAGCUAAUACCGCAUAAUAUUGAUUAUUGCAUGAUAAUUGAUUGAAAGAUGCUAUUGCAUCACUACCAGAUGGACCUGCGUUGUAUUAGCUAGUAGGUGAGGUAACGGCUCACCUAGGCGACGAUACAUAGCCGACCUGAGAGGGUGAUCGGCCACACUGGGACUGAGACACGGCCCAGACUCCUACGGGAGGCAGCAGUAGGGAAUCUUCGGCAAUGGACGAAAGUCUGACCGAGCAACGCCGCGUGAGUGAAGAAGGUUUUCGGAUCGUAAAGCUCUGUUGUAAGAGAAGAACGGGUGUGAGAGUGGAAAGUUCACACUGUGACGGUAUCUUACCAGAAAGGGACGGCUAACUACGUGCCAGCAGCCGCGGUAAUACGUAGGUCCCGAGCGUUGUCCGGAUUUAUUGGGCGUAAAGCGAGCGCAGGCGGUUAGAUAAGUCUGAAGUUAAAGGCUGUGGCUUAACCAUAGUACGCUUUGGAAACUGUUUAACUUGAGUGCAGAAGGGGAGAGUGGAAUUCCAUGUGUAGCGGUGAAAUGCGUAGAUAUAUGGAGGAACACCGGUGGCGAAAGCGGCUCUCUGGUCUGUAACUGACGCUGAGGCUCGAAAGCGUGGGGAGCGAACAGGAUUAGAUACCCUGGUAGUCCACGCCGUAAACGAUGAGUGCUAGGUGUUAGGCCCUUUCCGGGGCUUAGUGCCGCAGCUAACGCAUUAAGCACUCCGCCUGGGGAGUACGACCGCAAGGUUGAAACUCAAAGGAAUUGACGGGGGCCCGCACAAGCGGUGGAGCAUGUGGUUUAAUUCGAAGCAACGCGAAGAACCUUACCAGGUCUUGACAUCCCGAUGCCCGCUCUAGAGAUAGAGUUUUACUUCGGUACAUCGGUGACAGGUGGCGCAUGGUUGUCGUCAGCUCGUGUCGUGAGAUGUUGGGUUAAGUCCCGCAACGAGCGCAACCCUUAUUGUUAGUUGCCAUCAUUCAGUUGGGCACUCUAGCGAGACUGCCGGUAAUAAACCGGAGGAAGGUGGGGAUGACGUCAAAUCAUCAUGCCCCUUAUGACCUGGGCUACACACGUGCUACAAUGGCUGGUACAACGAGUCGCAAGUCGGUGACGGCAAGCUAAUCUCUUAAAGCCAGUCUCAGUUCGGAUUGUAGGCUGCAACUCGCCUACAUGAAGUCGGAAUCGCUAGUAAUCGCGGAUCAGCACGCCGCGGUGAAUACGUUCCCGGGCCU